rnacentral:lncRNA from 1 species
GCACUAACAAGUGACAGAUGUGGUUGACUCAUCUCCUUCUCCCUUCGACUCUCUAAUGAGCAAUUAAAUAGCCUGAAACAGAACAAUCAAGAGGUCUGGCAAAUCCACACACUAGAUGACUGCCUUUUCACUUAACUGUGUCCUCAUAUGGAAGAGAGGAGAAAAGAGGAGAGGAGGGGAGAGGAUUGCCUCCUUUACUGUAUGUUUUCCACUGAGAUGAAGAUUUUGGUCAUUUCCUCAUUCAUGUUCCUGCUUUUCAAAACCCAAGCAAGAAAGGAAACUUCUACAGUGACUUUCUCAUUAUGAAAUCUUAGCAUUCACUAGUCGGCCAUAAUGGAAAACCAGCCAAAUGGACACAUAUACACUGGUCUGUACCCGCAGAGAAAGAAAUGCAAAUCUCUGUGAUCAGAAAACUAUCCUAUCUUGUACAUUGUUAAAAGUCUGCCUCCAAAAAGUUUACUUCUGGAAUACUGUAAUUGAAUAGAAUCAGGGAUCCUACCUGUGUCCUUCAACUUUCACAUCUUGUCUACUCAAGUAAGGGUUGAAUUUGCAUGACUAUAUCUAAGGUUCGAGGGCUUACCUGUUGGCAGUAGACCCAGUAGUCUAUGAAUGGAAAUGGGCAAACCUGUGACCUCCCAAAACUUUAAUAUGAAAGUUUUGUUUGUGUAUACUCAUGGCAUUAUUCUUUUAAUAAAGAGAUAAUCUAUAUAGUUUUCUUUUUUAAAAGAUACUUUUAUUUCUUUAUUGUUGGGAACUGACACAGCUAAUUUCUUUCUGAAGAGGUUCUUUGGUUGAGAAUGG